rnacentral:rRNA from 1 species
CCUACGGGAGGCAGCAGUGGGGAAUAUUGCACAAUGGGGGAAACCCUGAUGCAGCGACGCCGCGUGAGUGAAGCAGUAUUUCGGUAUGUAAAGCUCUAUCAGCAGGGAAGAAGAAAGAUGGUACCUGACUACGAAGCCCCGGCUAACUACGUGCCAGCAGCCGCGGUACUACGUAGGGGGCAAGCGUUAUCCGGAUUGACUGGGUGUAAAGGGAGCGUAGACGGCUGUGCAAGUCUGAUGUGAAAGCCCAGGGCUCAACCCUGGGACUGCUUUGGAAACUGUGGAGCUAGAGUGCUGGAGAGGUAAGUGGAAUUCCUAGUGUAGCGGUGAAAUGCGUAGAUAUUAGGAGGAACACCAGUGGCGAAGGCGGCUUACUGGACAGUAACUGACGUUGAGGCUCGAAAGCGUGGGGAGCAAACAGGAUUAGAUACCCUUGUAGUC